rnacentral:lncRNA from 1 species
AAAAUGUAAAUAUAGGAAUUCUUCCUUCUUGUCCCCUUUUUAAGGACUCAUGUUAUUCAUUGGGAGAUUGGGAAUUGUUUAUGGGUUUUUAAAAAUUGCAACAAGUUUAAGGAUAUAAUUGACUUUUAUUAGAGAUUCUAGAAUUAGGAAGCAUCUCAUUCUAAAAAGAAUGAGUGCUCCUUUGAGCAUGACAAAAGAGUUGUUUUUUAUCAGGUGGAAAGAAGGAAAUAAUAACAUAAAAAAGUAGGUUGGCUAACAUCAGUUUGCUACAGGUUACUUUUCUUAAUAAUGGUUAAAGCAGAUGAGACUUCCUUAUUAACAUAGCUAGGGUUGACUAGGCCCUUCCAAAUAGUUACUGUGAACCUCCUGUUUUCAGAAGAAACUGAUAUGUUCAGGAGAUUUACCUGGUUCCUUAGAACUCCAGUUUAUGUGGCACUUAGCAUGAGUAACACCAUGUCAGUUUGAUUUGUUGGGGCCUAGUAUAGGAACUCAGUUCAAAUGACAGCCUUCUAUAAAUUUUAUUGAACAAUGGAAAGAAUGGAAGGAACUAUAGAAGAUAUUAUUGUUAAAUGUUUAAGUACAUGUUUCUUUGUGUGUGAAGUGUCUACUUAUGUGGUAACUUACUGGCAUCAUCAAGUCAAAUAACAACAAAAUCUUAGUUCUGAAAGCUGGAAUGGUUUAUGCCUUUUCACUCUUAUACCUAAUAUCCUAAGUAGCCACACAAAUUAAGAAAGAAUCCUGGCUGGGGGUAGUGGAUUGUGCCUGUAAUCCCAGCAGCUUGGGAGAGUGAGG